rnacentral:rRNA from 1 species
AGUGUAGGUGGUUUAUUAAGUCGGAUGUGAAAUCCCGGGGCUCAACCCCGGAACUGCAUUCGAUACUGGUAGACUAGAGUUCGGGAGGGGUAAGCGGAAUUCCGUGUGUAGCAGUGAAAUGCGUAGAUAUACGGAGGAACACCUGAGGCGAAGGCGGCUUACUGGACCGAUACUGACACUGAGACUCGAAAGCGUGGGUAGCAAACA